UUUUUUUUUUUUUUUUUCCUCUCACUGUUCUUCAUAAAGUCAUUGCAUCUUGAUAUCCAGUUAUAUAUAGAGAGAGAUGUUUACGGUUGCUUGGUUUUCAGGUGCCACAAGUUCUUAUCCAGAAGAUAUUUACUCAAACAUUUUCGUACAUAAAUGUACAAUUGUUUAAUAGGUAAUCUUUUGUGGCUUUUAGAUAGUUCCUUUGUGGUUUUAAUUCAAAAGGUUUCGUUUUGUACUUAUUAGAAUUUGUUAUAAUUUUCCAGCCUUCUUUUACGCCGUGAGUGUUGUACGUUUAGCAACGGAGAAUAUGUUAAAGCUGGGUUAGCAGAGUUAGAGCUCUGGAGUUGCCAAGUGAAAGAAGAGGUAAGGUUUUUAUUUUUUUAUUUUUCUUCUCAUCCGUGUUUGUACACGUAGUUGUUGCUACAUAUUUGCUGGACUAUUUACUUCCUUUUAUUGGCUUAAUUAAGGCCCAUAUUGUGCUGAUUCUAUACCUCACUUGCCUUGAGCUGCAGUAUGCAGGAUCGUCCUGGGAUGAACUUAAGCACAUUAGACAGGCUGUUGGUUUCUUGGUAUGUCAGGCACUCUUUGACAAUAUAGAUAAUGUGAUGGGUUGUUCGUGUAUGUUUGUUUCUGAAGUCCUAUCAGCUUGCAGUCGUUCGAACUCAAUUUUGUUAAUAUGUUUGACACUGCAUAUAGUUUGAGUUAAACAUUAUCAUAUUUAUUAUUAAUAGUUCUCAAAUGCCCCAUUCCGCAAAACCAAUAUGAGUUUGAAUUUAAUAAUUUUAGAUAGGAAAGUGAAAGCUUUAACUUUUGACUUCCCAAAUCAUGACAAUUCAGGAGAGCAGAUGUGGGAGGUGUGGGAAUCUAGAAGGACUGGAUUUACCAUUGCUUCGUUAUUUCCUUUUGAGUGUUGUUAAUUAGAAAUGUCGUUUUAUCCAGAAAAUUAUUUUUACUACUUGAAGAAAGACAUUAGUUUCCAGCUUAUCUCUCUAGAUAUUUAAUAGCAGUAAAUAUAAAGUUCUGCUUCUAACUUGAAUCGUAUUAAAUCCUAUACAGGUUAUACAUCAGAAGUACAGAAUUUCAUAUGAUGACAUUACAAAUGAUCUCUGCCCUGUAAGGCCUUUUUUUUCUCUCUCUCUCUUUUCCCUCCCCAUUUUUCCAAGGUUGUUUGAACGGCCAGUUGGACCGGAAAUUGGCGGGGUGCUGGUUCGGAGAAGGGCCUUGAACUGGUUGACCUGGGAACUGGUACAGACCUGUUGAACUGGGCGGUUGAACCGGAUUUUUAAUAUUUUUUCUAUCUUUUAUGAUUUUUUAAUGAUUUAUUUUGUUGAACUGGUUGGAUCAGCUAACUAGUGCCUUGACUGGUUCGACCACCAGUCCAUUUCUGAAAACAUUGCAUUUUUCUCAUUCUCUUUGACAUUUACUUUUUGUUUCUUCAGAUUCUUAGUGUACAGCAAUUGUACAGAAUAUGUACCCUGUAUUGGGACGACAACUAUAAUACUCGAAGUGUUUCUCCAGAUGUAAGUUUCAAAUACCAAUCUUUCUUCUUGAUUGCUUACAAAGUUCGUAAAGCUGAUAUGAUUAAUAGGCAAACCCGCACUUCGUUACCAGGUUAUUUCCAGCAUGAGGGUAUUAAUGACAGAGGAUUCCAAUGAUGCCGUUAGUAGUUCCUUUUUAUUGGACGACAAUUCCAGGUAAAAAUCCCUUCAUAUUGCCUACAUACGAUGCCCGGUUCUACGUAAAUGUGAAUUCGCAAAGAAUUCAACAUUUCUUUCGUAGCUCGUAUUACGUAACACACAAAACAACUUUGUAGCCAUAUCUAGCAUUCGGAAUCUACAUUGUAGAAACAAAGUAAUGAACUAAUCAGUCCUUCUUAAUACAGCAUUCCCUUCUCAGUUGACGAUCUUUCCAAAUCGCUCCAAGAGAAAGAAUUCUCGGAAGUCAAACCAGCAGACGAACUUCUUCAGAACCCAGCCUUCGAAUUUUUACUCGAGUAAGGCUAAGGAAGCUUUGAAUCGAUCCAUCCCCUAUUUCUUGUGGCAAUGGAGACUUAAAAACCCUAUUGCCAACUAAAAUGAUUGGUGUAAAUUCAUUUUUCAUUUCAUCUAUCACCCUUGAUAUAUAAUUUUUUUCCCAUUACAUCCAUUAAAUUUUCUAUUACUUUUUUUUCUUUGGCAUUUUCAACGAUUUUGGUUUGAUUUUUUUUCUUUUUAAAUUUUAUUUUAUAUUGGUUAUUCUUUUGCCAUAUGGGGCCUGGGUUUUUAUUGUAUAAAGCAACCCCAUAUUAUGGAAACGUACAUGCAUAUAUAAAUAUAUAUUUUAUAUAGUUGAAAAUAUUUAUUACCAUGCUUGAUUUUUAUUUCUAUUUCAGCCUUUCACCUCCAUCUUUAUUUUCAUUGAAAAUUCAAAGUUCUUAUGAUUUAUUGUGGGUUGCUAUGUAUUUGCAUGCUUGUUUGCUGCAAAGAAGAGUUGUGAUGGAAAUAUGAGAAAUAAAAUAUUAAUAAAUUUGGCUGAGUUGAUGCCACUAUUUAAUUUGAUGUGAAAAUUUACUCAAACUAGCCUUUAUGUUCCCAUUUACGCAUAGGAAUUUAUAAUCUUUUCCAUAAUUUAUUUGGUAUUAAUAUUCUUAAUUUUUUAAAUUAUGAAAAUUAAAUUUAAGAUAAUAAUUUACGGUUACUUUAAUUUGUUAAGAUGAUUUCUGAGGCAUGUUUGAGACAGUCAUUUUUAGUGCAUGAUUUAAGCAAAAUUGUUUAAAAAAUAAUAAUUGUUAAGAUGAUUUAUGAAGGCAUGUUUGAUACAAGUAGCUCUUUGAUACAUUUAUUUAGAUCUCUAUCUAUUUUGGUCAAAUUUGUUAGAAGAGAUCGCACACAUGUCUAUUUACUCUUGAUUAUGAUUUUAUCUAAUAUAAUUGCUUAAUCUUGUCCUUUUCUACCAAAAAAAUAAUUAUUAUUUUAAUAUUUUUUUUAUAAAUUAAAUAUAAUUUAAGAGAUCAAUUAACAAUGUUGUCAAUUAAAUUAAAUAAUUUAUUAAAUAAAAGGAAGUGUCCAUUAUUUAACUUAGAAGCAAGUAAAAGGAUUAAAUUUCAAAAUUUUGAAAAGUAUAAGGGAUUGAUAGAUAAUUAUACCUUUUUUCUCUCCUCCUAAAACCCAAAACUAAGAAAAAAGAAAGAAAGCCACUAAGUGUAUAGAUUAAAUAUAAUUUAAUAGAUAUCAAUUAAGAAAUGUUGUCAAUUAAACUUUCUUUAUUAAAUAAAAGAAGUAGAUGGACUACAUUCUUGAAAUUAGAAGCAAGUAAAAAGAAAAAAAUUUUAAAAGUAAAAGUAAAGAGACUAAAUUUUAAAAGUAUGAAAAGUAUAAAGGAUUGAUAGAUAAUUAUACCUUUUUUUCCCUCUUUCUUUCCCUUCCAGCUCUAACCCACACUUCUUCAUUACUCUAUGUUUCUUCUUUUUAUAUAAAGUUAUAGAUUUAUUUUUUAUAUAAAAUAAUAAAUAUUGACUUAAUCAUUUCUUGAUUUAUUUUUAUAUCAAUUUUUUAUAAAUAUAUUUAAUAUAUAAAUAGUUUUUACUUAUAUUAUGGGUAGAUGAUGUAUUGGGUAUGAAUAUAUUUAAUUUUUAUUAAACUUUAUCGCACUCAAUGAGAGAAAAAUAGAAGUGAUAACAAAUUUGUAUUUUAAUAUCAUUAUAUACUUGUUUUUAUCUUUGGAUUUGUAGUUUUAUUUUUUUAAAUGAUAUAAAAGUAUGAAAAUAUGAAAAUGUUAUUACAAAUAUUAAUUUUAAUUUUAAAAAAAGUUUUUAUAUUUUCAUAAUUGAGUUAACGAUACGAUUAAAGAUGACACUAAUUUAAUAAAAUAUUUAAAUAUAAAUAUUAGAGUAUUAAAUUUUAUUUAUAUAUUUGAAAAAAAAUAUUUAUAUUUUUGUAUUCAUAUUUGAGUGUUAAACAUAAAUAUCAAAAAAUCAAAAUAACAUAAUUGAGUACAUGUAAUCCUAAAAUCCCAAAUUUCAUGAUAUGAAUAAAUGAAAUUGAAUGCUAAGCAAGAGGAAUGGGAUUGAUAAUAUAUAUAUAUAUAGGUAAGGAACAUUUGCUUAAGUAACACAUAAUUUAGGAUGAGUCAUAUAUAACAAAUUAUUCUAUGAAAUUCCUAUGAGAGCAACAUGUUAAUUAUUAAAUUGAAUAACUUCAACAUGAUAGUAUAAUUCAAUAAGCCAAAAAAUUUACAUAAGAAUUUUUUUGUCAAUAAAUAAAAAUCCAGUCGAUUGAGUUUUAACUUGGUUGGUAUUGAUAUUGUUGCCAGUGGAGGAGGAUGUAAAUUAAAAUGCAUUGAAGUGCGUUUAUCCUCUUAUUUAAAGGUUGGGGAGAGAUUAUGGAUAAUUCUAGUAAAAACCUAUAAUUGAUGAAUGUGAUUAAGAUAAUUUUUCAGGUAAACUACACAAAUAGUUGUCCAAUUAUCAAAAAAUUUCAUUUUAGGCACUCAAAAUAGAAAGUUUGUAAUUUAAUCACCCAUGUUACGUAGUAUGGUCUUUUCUCCUGUUAAAAUCACAAACAGAAGGCUGACGUGGCAAUUAAAAAUUUUGGUAUGAUAACAAUUCAAAUUUUAAAAAAUUAACCCUCAAAAUUUACAAAUAGUCUCAAUAUAUCCUAAUUCUAAAAAAAGAAAUGUAUAAAAAUACAUAAAUAUUUUCAAAGAAAUAUAAUAAUAAAUUUAAAAUUUAUAUUAAUAUUAAAUAAAUAUAAUUAUAUUAAUAAUAAUUAAAAAAUUAAUUUGAAUAAACUGAAAAUUUUUAAUAGUUGAAUGAUAAUCUGAGUAGUUUAUCCUAAUUUUUCUUUACCCUUAAAAUAAGAUUUCGUCACAUUCCGAUAUUUUAGAAUAAGGUUGUUGGAUCAUAUGGCCAAAAUAAAUUCAAGUGAUGUGGGUGAUGUAUAACUGUUUUGGGAGCCUCUAGAUGCCGUUAGAAAUAUAUUGUUACUUGAGCAUAGUACUCUUUUCUACGUUAAUAGUUUUUUUAAGUUUGUAACCGUUUUGUGUUGAUCUUUUCUAUAAUAAAAAAAGUAAUACACACAUUAUCACAUCUAACAAAUCAUUUUGUAAAAGUCUUAGAAGAGCAACGGAUGGAUCAUUAAAUUGAGUAAUCUUAACAUCAACAUUAUGAUAUGAAGAAGCUAAAAUUUUGCAAAAAAAAACUCACGAUUCAACCUUUCUUCGCGUGAGGGGUUUGAAUUAAACUAUAUAUUUUUAUAAUAGUAAAAAUACAAUUUUAUCAUUUUAAUAGUUUAUAUAUUUAUAAUUUUUAGAGGAUUAAAUAAAAUAUUUAUUAUUUUUAAGAAGAUUAAAAUGUAAUUUUAUUAUUAAUUUAAAAUUUUAUAAGUUAUAAAAUAUCUAAAUAAAAAAUUUUCUAUUGCUAAUCUCAUCUAAAUUUGGCCCUGACUAUAUAUUCCGAGAUAGAGAGGGAAUCUUUUGGACUUUAAGCAAUGAAUUUUGUAAUCCCAUGCUAUGUUAUUCAAUUGUCUUCCUAGAAAACAUUGAAUAAAAACACCUUAUAUCCUAUACACCCAAAAUGUUUUGAAAAAUUACAUUGCUAGCCCACACAAAUUACGUAAUUCCCAAAUAUACCAACUUACAGAACCAAGGGAUGUCACAUUCAAGAGCGCCAGAUAUUCAUCCACAUAGUUUUUUACUCGGGACAAUUCUGUAAUAGAUGUAAUCAAUGUUUUUGGGAUUCAAUUGGUAAUUGAUUGAUUUUUAGUUCAACUAUUUAUUUUGUUCAAAUUAAAUAGUUUUUUUAAAAGUUUAAAUAAAUUUUAAAAUAAAUAUAAAAAAUUAUGAAACUCGAUUUAAUUGAUUUUUAAUUCAAUUCAAUUAAUUUUUAUUGAUUCGCAGAUCGAUGAUUUUCUUUUUUUACCUUGCUUUGGAUAGGUAUAUUGGCCAAUUCCCUAUCAAAUUGAUCUGAUUGACCAAUCUAAACCAUUUGGCUUAAACAACUUUGGAUGCAACAAAAUCUGAUUUAAAUGAAGGGUUAAAAAUUAUUUUUUUGGCUUAGACUUAGCAACUACUCUCAAUUAGAAUUUAAACUUUUUUUUAUCUAAGUUAGUUCUUGUUUUUUUUUUGAAAGCUUUAAAGUUCAAGUCCAAAUAUUAAAAUAAUUACCAAAUUCAAAUUCUAAUAUAAGAAAAUUUGCCUAGUUUAUAAUUUGAAAAAAAAAUAUUUAAGCCCCAAUGUCAAGGACUAUAAACCCAAAAUAGAAGUUAACCCUUAAAUAAUUAUCAAAUAAAAAAAAAAGAUUAUAGAUGAAAAAGCGACAACUAUAUAUGAAAUGAAAAAGCAAUGAUUAGGGGGAGUUGGCAGUCCAUGUGAAAUCCUCAUGGAAUAGCUUCUGCCUUGGAGGUAAGGUAUAAACCUAUCGAGGCAUUUUAGGCUAUAGGCCAUGGACCGCAACCGGACCACCCUCUAUGAUAUCGAGUGCAAAAAAAAUUCCCUCAAUCUAAGCUGCCAAUGGUUAGAGAUUUCCAGUUUCUUGUAUACAUUAUUACAAACAGAAUCAGAAUGUGGAUAAUGAAGAAAGGGUUGGGUUUUGAAUUUGGUCAAAUUGGUCCCCCAUUCACAUUUUCAUCAUCGCCAUUGUUUCUUUCUAUGUGUUUUUUUGUUGUAACCCAUUUAUUAAACUCAUCUCUCUAGAGUUUAGCGUUGGCCCAUUGGCUUUUAUAGGGUCUUGUCUCUCACUUUCAUUAGAAGUCGCACAGGUCUAUUAGAUUAAAAAUUAAUGAGAGAAUCGAUUCGAAAAAAGGUAUUAAACGAAUUAGUCUAAGUUAAAAAUCAGUUGAAUCGAUUGAAUCAGUCAGGCUGACAGACCGAUAGUUUAAUCAAUUUAGCUACAAAUCCAACUCUAAAAUUUUUGGGUGAAACCGGUGCUCAAUAUUAUAGGACAUUCUCUAUUCAUUAUAUACUUCUUAUUUGGUAUAUAUCACGUGGAGAGUGCAUUAUUGUAAAAAUGUAAGUUCAAAUUCAUAAAGAAAAAUUUGAUAUUAACAAAAUCUCAAAAGAUUUAUGGAUACUAAAAGAAAGUAAUUUAAAUUUAUUUCUCUCGAUAAAUUUAAUUAAACGAAUCAUUUAAAAAAAAAUGUUAUCCACAUUUAUCAUGUAACCAUUUAUAGGUACUAAAAAGUUUAAAUUAAAGAUUUUGAAAGAGUCGGAAAAUUGAAAAAUCAAUUUAAUUAAACAAAUCAAAUAAAUAAAUAAAUUCGCAGUCAAUCAAGUCAAAAUAGUUACUUUCAUAUCUAGCUGCCCUAUUUGUCUUGGAAAAUUGAGUUAUGGAUAGUGCUGACUGAUGAUAAAGAUUUUUGGACCACAGUUUCACCUACAACUUUCUAAAUUGGCACAAUCAAACUAUUUUCAAAAUUGGAUGGCUACUAAUUGAAUCAUUUCCAAAAUUUUUGAAAGUUCAUUAAAAAAUUUAAAAAUAUUUUAAUGAGUUUAAUUGAAAAUUUUAAAAAUUUUGAGAGAAAUAGUGUGAUUUUUAAAUUUUUAGAGGAUUUAAUUAAAAUUUUCAAAACUUUUUAGAUAGCUCAAUUAAAAUUUUCAAAAGAUUUGAGAACCUAAUUGAAAAUUUUGGAAGUGUUGAUGACAAAUUUUUUCAUAUUUUUGGAGGGUCCUCUUAUUAUGUUUUUGUCAUUGAACGCUUGUAUUCUCUACUUUAAGAAUGGGGUUAUUUGUUGUUUACAAUUUCAAAAUUUUUUAUUAUUUAAAUUAUCAUUUUUAUCUUAUUUUAAUCUUAAAAAUAUUGACAUUUAAUAAGAAUGUACCACGUAUCAUAUUAUUAUUGAUUUUUUAUUUUUGAGAUAAAUUAAAAUAAAAAUAAUAAUUUAAGUACUCAUAACUUAAGUUUAAAAUAAUUAACUUUAAAUUGCUUAAUAUUUUCAUGGGUAAUUUUUAUUUAUAAAUUAAAAUAAUAAUAAUAAAAUUUUGUUCGUAACUCUAUUUAAAAAUUUUACAAUGUUAUGAAUGGAUGAUUCAAACUCAAAUAAAUUAAUGGUUAAAAAUUCAGUGUUGACAUCUCAAUAAUUGGGGUUUGAGUUCGGGUGCUAACGUCCUCUCUUUUUAAAUCGAUUAAUGUAAGUUUUGAAUUAAAUUUGUUCAACGGUAUGAGUUAUUUGUCCAAUUUCAAAAAUUUAUCGAAAAAUAAUAUUGAGCUCAAAAAUUGAAAUUCGGUAAAAAAUAUUAGACCUAUUUAAAAUAUGAACUAGAUUCGGACUCUAAUAUUUAAACCCGAUCUUGGCUCAAACCAUUCCAUUUUCAAGUUUAUAUAUUAUGUAGCUUAUUCCAUAUGAAAAUUAAAUAUAUUAAAAAUAUAGAAAAAUAUAUUACUAUAAUGUAAAUAUUAAAAAAAAUUUACUAAGUUACUUAUGUUUAAAAAUUCAAUAAAAAAAUAUAACGAUAGUAAAAAUUAUAUUUAAUAAAUAAUAAUUGAAAUAAUCAUAUUUAUAAGAAUAAAAAUAAUAUAGAUUGAACUAAACGGGUCAAAUUUUAAUAACUACAUAUAAUUUACCAUACUAAGCAUAAACUCGAUUGAUAAACACUUUUACUUUGAAUUUUUAUAUAUGGAGAAAGGGGGGAGAUUUUUUUUUUUUUUGACUUAUAAGAGGAAGAUAAAGUUCUAACAAGAACGUGACUAGUGCGACUCAAACGCAAACCACACUUGAGGCAAUGAACACCCUGACUAUCAGACCAACACAUGAGAUUGAGAGGAAGAAACUUUGAUUGUACCAUUUUUUUCUUUAAACUAAACUUCCCAUCAUCCUAAUUUCCCUUAAUAAAGAACAAUUUAAUUAAUUAAUAGUUGGUCAAUAACAGAAUAAUUGACUAUAUUUAACAUCACAUGAAAGUUUGGUGCAAAACAAUGUGAAAAUAUUUAGGGGAAAAAAUCUCAAUUUUUGAUUAAUUUCAAUUCCAUCAAUCUCAAGCAAAUCUCUUAAUUAAUAUUCCAUCCUUGUAAUUUCAGAGGUCUUUUCUACCAUUCCAUGUGGUAUCAUGUGUUUUCAUAUUAACAUAUAAACAUUAUUAAAAUUUCCAAAUCAAUCCAAAAUUUUAUCCUACAAUUAAAUCUUUUUAUGUGUCGAAUUAUAUUGCAACUCGAUUAAAAAAAUUUUAAACUCGAUUUGAUGGCCUAUUUCACUAUUAAUAUAUUAAUAAAUUAUUGAAACAAUAUAAUUUAUAUUAUUUUUAUAUGUUUUAAAAUUAAUUUUAGAUUUAAAUUUUUAUUAUUUAAAUUAAAUUCAGGUCGAACCAUACAAAAUUAAUGUGAAAAGCAUUUGCUCAAACUUGGGCCAAGUGAACUAUUUGACCCAUAAAGAGGUCUAUACACAAUAACUAUAAUUGCAUUCAAUAAUCAAUAUGUAACAAUAAUAAUCGUAUAAAAACUUAUACAAAUAUAUUAAAUUGAAUUUUACAUUGAUAUAUAAAUAUAUUUUUGUUGCAUUUUAUUACUAUUAUUAUAAUUUUUAACAGAGUUGGUGUCACGAAACUUGCUUGAGAAAUUACAAAAUAAUUCAAUUUUUAAAACAAAUAAUCUAUUUAUAGGUUUUGAUAAUAUUUAGUCUUUUUUUAUGUCUAAAACUACCCAUAACCUUUCCUCAACUCAUAAAUAGGAAGAUAAUAUGUUUCAGCGCACUCGAACUUACAUUCUCCUGUAUUAUACUAAUCAAAUUAAGACUUAAUCGAGUUUAAUAUGUUUAUAUUAUUUUUAUUACUUUCAAACUUAGUUUCAUGAUGGAUGAAUGUUUAAUGCAUUAAUUGAAGUUGUUAUUUCCCCUACAAACUCCUGAUUAUGUUGUGCUAUGACUUGAUUCCCCUAAGUUAUUAGAUUUUUUUAUUUUUUUAUAUAUUUGUUACAAUUAUUAUAUUUUUAAUUUAUUUUUUAGACAAUAUUUUAUGAAUUGUUUGAGAAAACGAGUACAAGAAUCAACAAGAUUGUUUGCUAAUUAGAGUCAAACUGAAGUUUGCCUAGUUCUUGACCAACAAAUUAUCUAUAUAAAAUAUUUUCUUGUCCUAUAUGAAGUUUUAUUCUAUUAUUUUAAAAUAUUAAUUUUUUAUAAAUAAAUUUUAGUAAUUUUAUUUUUAUUAUUUAAAUAAUAAAUACAAUCAAAUCAUAACUGUCCAACGCAUGCAUCAAAAAAUAUCAUAAUUUUCGACAACUAACUCUAAACUUUUCUUUUUUUUUAAAAAAAAAAAGGCAUUCAAAUUAUUGUAUCUGAAUUUUAAAAAAUAAUAAUAAUUUCCCAGAAAAUUGAGAAAAUUUUGUAAAUAAAAGAAUUCGAAAAAAUAAAAAAUAAAAAAAUUAUUGCUUAAAGCAAAAGAAGUCAACAAAAAGGUUGACUUGUAGACAUGUUUUAAAGGUAUAUAGUAACAUGAACCCUACUUGACUUAGUUUCUAGUUUUGGGGGGCAGAACAAGUGACUAAUUUUAAUUAUAACUCAUCACAUGGUCUUAAAAAUAAAUAAAUAAAUAAUUAUUACUUAAUUAAAAUGGGACGGUUGUGAUCACUCUUAAGCUACGAUCAUCCUCUGCCUUUGCCUUAAUGUUCUUCUCCUUAAAACCAUGGCCGCCCUUGGAUUUUGUUUGUCCUAUGCAUGUGCUUCAAGCUUAUUAAAAAAAUUAUAUAUUUUUUGAGUUUAAUAAAAUUAAUGUACUAGAUUUAUUUUUUCUUGAAGUAAUAAUUGGGUCCAAUUAAUCACCACCGGUUAGGAAUUAUCUAUUUAUCAUUUUUUAAAUAUAUAUUUAAUUAAAAACAUAGAAAUAAAAUUUUUUGUAUAAGAAACAAGAUAAAAAAUAUAAGGUUAAAAAAUGUUAUAAGUUCAUGUACUCUUUACAAAUUUAGAAUUUAAUCUAUUUACUUUUAUUUUAAGGAAUUUAGUCCCUCUAAUUUUUAAAUUUCAAAAUGCAAGUCCGAUUGUUAAUACUAUUAAAUUGAUUGCUAUGACAUUUUGAAAUUAAAAAAAAAUCACUUGAUAGCCAUGUAACUAAAAAAUGACGUGUAAUGAACCUGAAUUUAACAAAAUAAUUUUAUCAGUGUUAAUAGUUUGACUUGAACUUUGGAAAGUAGAGAGACUAAAUUUUUAGAAGUAAAAAUAUAAUAACUAAAUUUCGGAUUUGUGAAGAGUGCAGGGACUUAUGGCAUAUUUCAACCAAAAUAUAAAUUAUUGAGAGGCUAAAUAAAAAUAUUUAUGUUAAGAGGGGCUACAUUGAUUUAUUAAAUUUCGAGGGAGUCAAAAUACAAUUUCACCGUAUGAAUCAACAAGACAAAGACCUGACAUACUCAUUUCAAACUUGUCUUUUUUUAAAAUAAUAUUAUGUCUAAUAAAUUUUAUUAAUAUUUCCCAUUAUUAAAAUAUUUGUAUUGAAGUUCUCAGUUAACAUUGGUCCUAAGUUCAAUCCCCAAAUAACCAUCACUCCUACCUCUUUAUAAAAAUAUGAAUCUUUAAUUAUAUAUGGGAUUUGAAGAAUCUGAAGUCUGUUAAUAAGGUGUGGCAAAGGAAGUGGGCAUACCUUUUAGCACACACAAAGAUAAAAUGCAAGAAUAGAAUGCAAAAUGUUGUUAACUUAGUUUAAAUAAAACUUUUGUUUAUGAUACCUUGCCCAAAAAAGAAUUUCACUAUUAAAUCUCGUGGUAUAAAACAAUAAUUUAAGUCCAAUCUAUCUUAUUCAUUGAAUAAUUGCAACCUCACCCAAAUACACUUAAUAUGAGCUCUUUCCAAUAAAAACAACUUUAAGGUAAGAAUAAAACAUUCAAAAAAUCCCUUAAUGGAUACAAAAUAUACUCUUUCAUCUACGAGUCCCAUGAAAUAAAGUCAUAUAUACGAGGAGGGAUCUAUUUAGACUUUGUAUGAUUAAUAUUUUAACUAUUCAACUGUCAUAUUUCAUAUUUCAUUCAUAUAGAUCUUGCAUGUCAAAUUUGAUAUAAAUUAAAAUUCUCUAACUAUUUGUCUUACAUAAAAAGCUUUCAACUGUUUAAUAAAUAUUAGCAUAUACACUUUUUUAUAUCAAUAUGAUAAAAAUAUUAAAUCGAUUUAAAAAUUACGAGUACAAUUAUAUUGAUAAAUCUAAUGAUUAAAUUACUAAAAUAUUAAUCGCAAUAUGGGAAAUAUAUAUAGAGGUUGUGAAUAUUGGCUUGUGUUGACCUGUUUAAUCUACUUUUAUCAUGUGCUGGGUAAAUAAGAUAUUAACAUCAUAUAUCAAAACUCUUAUCACCAAAAGAUUAAAACAUUCAGAGCUUGCCAAAUUGCUUCUUUAAGAUAGAGAUUAAUUAUUUUCGAAUUUGAACUCUUCAAUGUAAUUAUAUAAACUUUAUUUUCAUCUUUACGAGUUUUUUUUUACUAGAUUAAUAUAAUUAUAUAAAUUUCUCGAUAAAGAUAAGUCUUCAUCUUGAUCUAGACAAUCAAUAAUUUUGCUGCAUUACAAAACGCAUUGUAAGGUUAUACACCAACCAGAGAUGAAGACAAAGAGGGCAGGCAGUGGUCUUCCCCAAAAUGGUAGAUUUGUCAUUUAAUUCUUUAAGUUUUUUAUGAAAUUACAUGUUAAUGUGGUAGUAAAAUUGCACUUUUAACCUUCUACUAAUUUAUGAUUCAUCUUUGACCCCUUAAAACAUUUUUUUAGCUGCGUCCCUAACCAAAGGUGAAACUAGGAGCCCCUAAAAUAGAAAAAUAAAAUUAUACUUUAACCCCUCUAAAAUAUAAAAAUUUGAUUUAAUUCUUUAAAAAUUAUAAAAAUAUAAAUUAUUUUACUAUAGUAAAAAUUAUAAUUUUAUUUCGGCCCUAAAAGAUUUUCUGAUUUCCCCCUUAACUAACACCAACCAAAUUAAAACAUAUAAUUAACUCUCUCUUUCCAACAUUUCUUCUUGUAGAAUAAACAAAAAUUAAAAUGUAGUUUCUCAAGGAUCCAAUUAGUACAUAGUUAUCGAAAUGAAGGUAAAUGGCAGGCUCCUCAUUUCACCUACAUGCAUCUUUCAUUGUUGCUAAAACGACCACGUAUAUACGUUAAGAUUCUCAUUUAGGAUUUAGGGUCUAAAACACGUUACAUCUAAUGUAAAUGGAUUCGUUUAAUAGAGGUUUAAUACGUAUUAGUCGAGGAUUAAUUAUUAUUAUUGUAAAAGAUUAUAUUUUUUAUACAAUAUUAAAAAUAAAUUAAAUUCGUAUUAAACAUAUAUUUGACAAAAAAUUUAAUCCCUACUCAUAAAAACUUAAAAAAUUAUAAUUACUAUACUAAAUUUAUUGAAUUUGAGAAAAUGCGAUGCAUUAAUAUUAUAUAUGCUUCACUUUAACCAAUGACCCUAGUUAACAUUUUUCCAAUAAAUAGGAGCUAUGAUUAAUCAUUAGUUUUUUUUAAUCGGGACUAAAAGGUAAGAAUUCGAUACAUUCCUAAAUCCCAAAAUAUAAUUGUUGAUUGAAUAACGAAAUGUAUUUAUUAUAAUCUAUUGAGCCUGAUACUUUUCAAGUACCCCGAUUACUAUUCAAAAAUUUUUACAGUCUGAUAAUAUUUUCCUCAAUAAAAUUGUUUGAUUUUUUUUAUUUUCGAUUAAUGUAUUUAUUUCUACUAAAAAACAUUUUCCCAAUAUGUCAUUCCUUUCACUUCUUUUUUAUGUCUUAAAUUUAUUAUUUAUAUUAAUAUAUACCUAGUGAGAUUUUACUUAGAAAUUGGGCAUUAAAUAAUUAUAGUUAAUUCUCUCCAAGCUCUUGGGUAUAUGUUAUUUCAGCUUCACGAGGAAAAAGAUUACUUGGAGUCGGUUUUCUUUUCCUUAUAUAUGAUUAACAAAUAAUUUUCUUUUACUAUAUAAUAACACAUAUGGCAAUGACAUACUUACAUGUAUACACUACUUUAAAGGGGUUAUCUAAAUAAAGACAUAUCACUUAUUUUUCGAAAACUCAAAUUUGAGUAGAUUCUAUGUAUGAAUUUCCCUUAAUCAUUAAGUCAAGCACGAAAAUUUAAAAAUAAUUUCUUAUAAGUUAUAGAGUGGUAAAUAUAUAAUUUAACGCAAUUGUAAUUAUUAUAAUAUUAAAAUAAAUAUUUUAUAAUUAAAAUAAUAACUUAAAAUAGUACCUAAAUUUCUUUUAUUUAUUUGAAAAAUUACUCUUUCAAAAAGUAUUUAUAAAAGGGAAAGCAAUAAAUAAGUAUGCUUUUAUCAAAAUAAAUUUAAAAAAUAAAAAAAUAAUAUAAAAAAAUCCAUUCAAAAUCUACUAUACACGAAUAUCAUGCUUUAAUCGCAUCACAAAGCAUUUCUCAAGUAGAAGUACAUAGAUAAUUAACGAAGCCAAUAGUUUUCUCAUAUUAAAUUACGUUUCAUAUGACACAUAGCGUAGCCAGGCAUGUUCAUUCUAAACAAUUUUAACAUUAAAAUUAACUUGGUGGUAGAACAUGAUCGUAUAUUCCAUUAAUAAAUUUAUAGUUUUUAAUGGUUAAAUAAAUUGAUGUUUAUGCAAUAAGAUAAAAUUAACAACUUUUUUUUGUAUAAAAUAUAUAAAACCAACAAUAUUAAUAAUAUUAAUAAUGAUAUAAUUUGUAUCAGAUUACGCCAGAUGCACAAGGUGAUUGAGAUUAUGUACUAAAUAUAUUUAUAAAAAAAUUGAUAUAAAUAAAUAAAAGGUAUAAAAUGACGAAAAUAUCUUUAAAAUAAUAUAGUUUAUUUUGUAAAAUAAGGAUAUUUUCGUCAUUAUUUAACAGAGUUUAUACUCAUUUAACUCAUGAUACCAAACUUGAUAGAGUAUUUAACGUUAGUAAAGAUAUUUUUGUUAAUCGGACUCAGAAAAUUUGUUUUGAAAUUUUUUUAGGGAAAAUAAAAUAAAAUUGGCUCUCCCCUUUGACUAAAGUUUACCAUAAUGUGGGAAGGGAAAUAUAUAAUAUUAAAACAUUACAUACAAACUUUGACUUUAAUUAAGUUGCUAUUAACUAACUAUAUAGAAUUUCAUGUGACCAUGCAUGGAAUAUAGGUGUGGAUAAACAUUAUGAGAAAAAGUAAGAAAUAAUUCUCAUCAUUAAAUGGGUCACCACAUAUGCAAGUUCAACCUCUAAUUCCCUAAUUUUAAAUUAAAACCAAUGGUUCUCAUCUUUGAAAAAAAAAAUCUAAAUCCAUGUGUGUAGUUCUUUUUGGGGGAUUUAGAAGGGAGGUCGGCACCUUGAAUUGAGAGAAACCCUGUUUGAAAAUUCACAUAAUUAAAUAAUUAUAUAUUUUUGUUGCCUAGUGGGUUACAAACCAAUUUUUUUUUUUAGAAAAUGGGGAUCAUUGCCUCGUGAAAAGAUUUGGUACAGCCAUUAGAUGCAACGUGAAAAUAUUAGGAUUAGUUUCUUUAUAAUUAAAGUAUUGGGUGUUUUUCUCUAUAUAUAUUUAUAUGAUAUGGGUAUUGUUUAUUGACAUGACAUGUUAGAUAGGUUUUAUACAUAUAGACACAUAUUUUACUCUAGAUUCAACAUGUGUUUAUACAAUCUCAUGCACGUGUAAUCUCGCAAGAGAGCUUGGUCUGCGAGCUCAUUAGAAUUCGGCCCAAACUCAUUCAGAUUUUGAACUAGUAAUAAUAAUUAUCCUAACUUAAAUAGAUUAAUUUAGUCUCUAAAAUUAUUAUUUAGUUUAAAAUUCACAUAAAAAAAUAUUAUUUUCGCUUUUGCAAAUUAACUUUUAUUCAAAUUUGAUUUCAUCUAAUUUUUCUUUAAAAUAAUGAUUUAUCGAGAGAGUUGUUAUUAGAUACAAUAAAUUUGACUUUUAGUGACAAUUUAUUGGCGACGUUUGACUUCAAAAUUCUAGUUGAAGGGGAAAAUAAUUAUUAAAAUAAGAGAAAUAGAUGAGUUCAACUUUUAUAUUGCAUUUCAACUUAUCAACCGAAUAUGGAAGUUGGGAUUUGAUCGUUAAUAAUUUUAAUAAAAUAUCUACACAAUGCAUCCCUCAUUAUUUGCUUUCUAUUGUUAAAUUUGACUUCUUAACUAGAUUCUUUACAAUAUAGGCUUUUAAUUUUAGCAUAACAUGCUAUAAGUUAAAAUUUUAUAUUAAAUUAUUAAUUUUUUGGAAGGGACAAAAUUAAAAAUAUAAAUUUUUUCUUAAAUUAAAUUAUUGUUUUUUGACUGAUUGAGUCUUAACUCGAUUAGUAUGGGUAUUGUUGUCAAUGCAGGAGGAUGUAAAUUCGAACGUGUUGAAGUGCAUUAUUCUCUUAUUUGUGAGUUAGGAAGAAAUUAUGGGUAGUUUUAGUAUUCUUCAAAAAGAACAGAUACAGCGAUUGUAUUCAAGAAAAUUCUUUUAUGAUAUAAUCUUUUAAAAAAUCUAAAAUAAUAAUUAAAAGGAAAAGGAAAAAAUAAACGAAAAUAAGAAAGGAAAUCCUUGAAAAUCCAGUCCCUAAAAGUAGAAACGUCGGGUGGUGUGCAAAGCGACGGUGGUGCAAGGCAAAGCUGUUCACUUGGUGUAUGUGCAUGGGUGCCUUUGGGUUCAACACAAAUACACACUACAUUUCCCUCUCAAAUCAAAUAUCAUGCAUGCAUGAAAAUAUGUGCUUAUUUAUAUAUAUAUACACAUAUCUUAUAUAGUUUUUUUUAAAGCUGGAAAAUAAUACUUCUUUGGAAAUGAUUUUAUAUUAUAUGGUAAACUAUAUACAUAGAAACUCCAAACCAAGAAAACGGCUCUUACUCUCUUUUUCUUUUUUUCAUGAAAAGGAGAGACAUUCAUUGGGAACUCAAGGGUCGUCCACAUGCAAUCCAAUUACCAACCAAAAAAUUUUAAACCCUAAAUUUUAUUCCAUGAAGGUACAAUUACGAUUAAACCCUAAAUAUUUAAAAGCUUUCCAGCCACAGAACCAUGCAUCAUCAUAAUCAAAAUUUUAAAAAAAAGGGAAUGCAACAAAAGGCUUUAAUUAUGAGGAGGAAUGGGCAUGCUGUUGUUCCAAUAGGGUCGGAAGCGUGUAAAUUAUUGUACUAAAAAAUCACACAAAGUUCAAUUCCCAGGGAAGAGAGGUGGAUCACAUGGAUCUCUUAAAUACCAAGUCUUUCCUUAGUCAGAAUAUCCAUUCUAUAGUAAUUUAAUAGCACAAUUAAAUACUACUAUUAUACCCUCAAAUAUUGAAAAAAAAAUAGGACAAAAAGAACAUAAGAGUUUUAACGAGGUUCGGUAAAUUAUACCUACGUCCUCGGGCACUAACACUAGAUGAUAACUUUACUAUCUCCAAAAUAUUACAAACAAAUAGAAUUCCUUAAGAAUUCUCAAAUGGGAGAAGAGAGAAAACUAAGAGAGAAAGAUUGGUUGGGAUGAAUUGAAAUGAGAAAUGAGAAGGCCUAUUUAUAGUUGAGGUUCAAGGACCAAACAAUAAAUAGCCCAUUAUCUCAAGGACCAAAAAAAAAUUAUCCCUUGCCACUUUUCCAAAGUUGGUGGUUGUCAUUAUUGAUUGUCUCCCAUUAAUGUUAAUGGCAACCAUUAUUAAUUGUCUUCCAUUAAUGUUAACAAUCUCCACCUUGAAGAUUUGAUUAGGAUAAUCACAUCUUCACACACUUCCUUCAACUCCCCAAAUUCGAUAAAGCUAUCUUUUGUAGUGCCUACAAAUGCGCUCUCGAGCGCCAUACACCUGAAGGUGCUCAAAUUCUCAGGAUGUUAAUCAAGUUCAAACAAUGAUUAAACUUGAUUGUUGUUACCACCUUGGUCAUCAUAUCUGCGGGAUUAUCUGCUGUCGGAAUCUUCUGAAGUAGAAUUUUUCCUUUUUCAAAGACUUCCCGCACAAAGUGAUAUCUUACGUCGAUAUGCUUGGUUCUUGAAUGAUAGACUUGAUUUUUCACUAAAUGAAUAGCGCUCUGACUGUCACAAUAUAAACUUAUGUGACUUUGAACAACUCCUAAGUCUUUCAACAAUCCAUUAAGCCAAAUAGCCUCCUUAACAGCUUCUGUAACUGCCAUAUAUUCUGCCUCUGUAGUAGACACAGCUACUGUAGACUGUAAGGUAGACUUCCAACUCACUAGGGCUUUCGCAAGAGUAAACAGAUACCCCGUAGUUGAACGACGUUUAUCUAAAUCACCAGCAAAGUCGGAAUCAACAUAUCCAACUACAAACUGACCAAGUGCUUCACCCUUCUCAAAAAUUAAACCAACAUCUACGAUUUUUCGAAGAUACCGUAGAAUCCAUUUCACAGCUUGCCAAUGUCCUUUUCCAGGAUCAUGCAUAUACCUGCUCACAACUCCAACAGCUUGUGAAAUGUCAGGCCUCGUACACACCAUUGCAUACAUCAAACUCCCAACUGCAUUAGCAUAUGGGACUUUCGCCAUAUAUUCUCUUUCUUCUUCAGUUUUCGGAGAUAAUUGAGCACUAAGUUUCAAAUGAGAAGCAAGUGGGGUACUUACAUGUUUUGUGUUUUCAUUUACACCAAAACAUUGUAAUACCUUUUUCAGAUAUUGCUUCUGAUUCAAACAAAGCUUGCCUCUCUGUCUAUCUCUACUUAUCUCCAUGCCGAGAAACUUCUUGGCCUCACCUAGAUCUUUCAUCUCGAACUCUUGAUUCAACUGAGCCUUCAGCUUAUCUAUCUCAUUUUGGCUCUUCGAAGCGAUUAACAUAUCAUCAACAUACAAGAGUAGAUAAAUGAAAGAUCCGUCAUGCAGCUUCUGCAAAUAUACACAAUUGUCAUAUUUGCUUCUUGUGUACUUCUGCCUUCUCAUAAAGCUAUCAAAUCGCUUGUACCACUGCCUCGGGAAUUGCUUCAAUCCAUAUAGCGAUUUGUUAAGCUUACAAACCCAAUUUAUACCACCAGCAUCUGUGUAUCCUUCUGGCUGAGUCAUAUAGAUCUCCUCUUCUAACUCACCAUGCAAGAAAGCCGUCUUAACAUCAAGUUGAGCUAGCUCCAAAUUCAACUGUGCUACCAAGGCCAACAAAAUUCUAAUGGAGGAAUGCUUCACAACAGGGGAAAAUACAUCAUUGUAGUCAAUUCCCUCCUUCUGAGCGUAGCCUUUAGCUACCAAUCUUGCCUUGUAGCGAAUAUCCUUCUUGCUAGGAGAUCCAUCUUUCUUUGCGAAUACCCACUUACAUCCGAUUGCCCUUUUACCUUUCGGUAAUUGCGCCAACUCCCAAGUAUUGUUCUUCCGGAGAGACUGCAUUUCUUCAUCCAUGGCGCUUUUCCAUUUAUCACUUUCUAAGCUUUGCAUUGCUUCUUGAUAAGUGAUAGGAAUAUCAUCAACAACGGGAAGGGCGUAGGCCACCAUAUCAGUAAAUCAAGUAGGUUUACGAAUUUCUCUCCGUGGCCUUGCAACUACAACUGGUUCUGGUGUACUUAGUGGUUCUUGGGUCAGAACCUCUUCAACCUCUAAUUCCUCCAUUGUGGCUGGAGAAUUAGACUUAUUAACUGGGCAAAUCCCCAUCUGCUCAAACUCCACCUGUUUUGGAGUACACUCCACCUGUUGUGGAGUAUUGCUCGUCUGAAUAUCUUUAUCUGCUACCUUUUUCAAUGUGGCAGAUUCAUCAAAGGUAACAUCUCUGCUACAGAUCAUUUUCUUUGUGCUUAAGCACCAAAGACGAAAUCCCUUCACUCCAGAAGUGAUUCCCAUAAAGAGAGCUUUCUUUGCCCUCAGAUCUAACUUUGACUCCUUUACAUGGUAAUAUACAGUGGUUCCGAACACAUGUAAGGAAUCAUAAUCUGUAGCCGGUUUUCCAGACCAUACCUCCAUAGGAGUUUUUCUUUCUAAUGCAGAUGAUGGCAAACGAUUAACAAGAUGGCCAGCGUAUGUCACAGCCUUAGCCCAAAAUUGCUUGCCCAACCCAGCAUUGGACAACAUACAUCGAACUUUCUCCAGCAAUGUUCGAUUCAUACGCUCUGCCAAUCUAUUCUGCUGUGGUGUAUCCCUAACUGUGAAGUGUCGAACAAUACCAUACUCUUGGCACACAUCGAAGAACGGAUCACUUUUAUAUUCCCCUCCAUUGUCCGUCCUAAGCCGCUUGAUUUUCUUGCCAGUCUGGUUUUCGAUCAUAGUUUUCCAUUUAAGAAAAACUCUAAGCACUUCAUCCUUAGUUCUCAUGGUAUACACCCAAACUCUUCUGGAAAAGUCAUCAACAAAAGUAACAAAGUAGUGUUUUCCUCCCAAUGAAGGUGUCUUGGAAGGCCCCCACACAUCUGAGUGAACAUAUUCCAAAAUACCUUUUGUAUUAUGGAUAGCAGUACCGAAUUUCACUCUCUUUUGCUUUCCCAGAACACAAUACUCGCAAAAUUUUAAUUUGCAAGCCUUUGCACCUUUCAACAAUCCUUGCUUUGCCAGAAUUUGCAAGGAUUUUUCGCUGGCAUGUCCCAACUUCAUAUGCCACAACUGUAUUGAGUCUAAUUCUUUGUUGCCGGAAGCUGCAGCGACUGCUCCAAUAACUGUACUACCUUGGUAGUAAUACAAGUUAUUUUUUCUGAUGCCCUUCAAUAUCACAAGUGCGCCAGAUGUCACUUUCAAAAUCCCAUCUCUCAUAGUAACAACUGAUCCAUUGGAUUCCAGGGCUCCCAAUGAGAUGAGAUUUUUCUUCAAACUGGGCACGUACCGAACAUCAGUCAGAACUCUGGUUGAUCCAUCUUUAUUCUUUAAUUGGAUUGAACCUAUCCCAACAGUUUUACAGGCAUUGUCAUUGCCCAUAUAAACAACUCCUCCGUUUAGUUCUACUAAAUCAGAGAACCACUCCCGGUUAGGGGACAUAUGAUAGGUACAACUCGAAUCCAAUAUCCACUCAUCUGAAUGGAACGACGAUGAUGAUGCAACCAGUGAUAGUUCAGAGUCACUGGUAUCAUGCUUUGCAACACAAGCAUCUACAGCAGUUUUUCCCUUAUUCUUCAGCUUUGGACAAUUUUUCUUCCAGUGGCCUUUCUAAUGACAAAAAGUACAUUCAUCUUUCCCGAGUCUGGACUUUGACUUUGAUCUCCCCUUUUGAGUUUUCUUCCGAGUGUAUGAACGACCUCGGACUACUAAAGCUUCUGUAUCUCUGAUUGAGUUUUUCUGUUUGUCCUUCUUUCUCUGUUCAUAACUGUAUAAGGCCGCACAGACUUCGCUCAGAGAUAUAUCACUCCUGCCAUGAAGUAGAGUAGUUUCUAGGAACUCAAACUCCUCAGGAAGUGACCCCAACAGCAUCAAAGCCAAAUCUUCAUCUUUGAAUGUCUCAUCCAUAUUCAGCAAAUCAGUGACUAACUGAUUAAAUUAGGUGAUGUGAUCAUUCAUUGUGGUACUUGGGACGUAUGUGAAGCGAAACAGUCUUUUCUUCAAGUGGAGUUUAUUUUGACUGUUUUUCUUCAAAAAAUUUUCUUCAAGUGCCACCCACAACUUAUUUGCAGAAGUCUCCUUUGAAAAAGCAUACCUCUGCUCUCGAGAAAGGCAUGAUCGAAUUGUGCCACAUGCCAACCGAUUGAUCGCCUUCCAAUCUUUCUCUUGUACAUCAUCUGGUUUCUCUUAAUCAAUGGCAAUGUCUAGACCCUGCUGAAAAAGGGCAUCUAGAACCUCACUUUGCCACAUACCAAAAUGGCCCGUGCCAUCAAAGAUCUCCACGGCCAAUCUUGCAUUUGCAAUUGUCGGUCUUGUCCACAUGGACGAUGUUGAAGCUCCUACACCGACCGUUUUCUCCAUAAUCUUUCAAUAUACCUAAGGAAAUCUUUUCUGAUGUGGAAGAUCAGUUCAAACUGCAACCACAGAGCAUACUACGAUUAACCUUCGGCUCUGAUACCACUUGUUGUUCCAAUAGGGUUGGAAGCGUGUAAAUUAUUGUACUAAAAAAUCACACAAAGUUCAAUUCCCAAGGAAGAGAGGUGGAUCACAUGGAUCUCUUAAAUACCAAGUCUUUCCUUAGUCAGAAUAUCCCUUCUAUAGUAAUUUAAUAGCACAAUUAAAUACUACUAUUAUACCCUCAAAUAUUGAAAGAAAAAUAGGACAAAAAGAACAUAAGAGUUUUAACGAGGUUCGGUAAAUUAUACCUACAUCCUCGGGCACUAACACCAGAUGAUAACUUUACUAUCUCCAAAAUAUUACAAACAAAUAGAAUUCCUUAAGAAUUCUCAAAUGGGAGAAGAGAGAAAACUAAGAGAGAAAGAUUGGUUGGGAUGAAUUGAAAUGAGAAAUGAGAAGGCUUAUUUAUAGUUGAGGUUCAAGGACCAAACAAUAAAUAGCCCAUUAUCUCAAGGACCAAAAAAAAAUUAUCCCUUGUCACUUUUCCAAAGUUGGUGGUUGUCAUUAUUGAUUGUCUCCCAUUAAUGUUAAUGGCAACCAUUAUUAAUUAUCUUCCAUUAAUGUUAACACAUGCAUGCAUGCAUGUGUGUCGAACUAACGAGCAUUUGCCGAAAACAAGACGGCCUUCCCAUGUACCUUGAAGUUUCUUUUUUUUUUUUUGUAAGUUUCAAUAUAUCGUAACAAUCAAAACCGUGUAUAAUUACUGUAUUAUGCUUUGAACCUCUAUUCCAUUCCUUACCUAGUACUCCACAAUUAAUCUUUUUAAUUUGAAUAAAGUAUAUAUAUUCUCUCUUCUUUACAUUCAUUCCCACCCAUUAAUUGCUGGAGGCUUGUUACAUAAAUAUUAUGUGCUACAUAAGCUUUUCUUUUAAACGUAUGUAGACCAUUUUCAAGGAUCUUAAUGGACCAUGCAAAGAAGCUUAGAAACAAAUAGAUAAAAAAAAAGUCUCUGUGUGUGUUGUUUCUCAAAUAAAUACUAGCAAAACAGUGGAGAGUAGCUAGUGAAGUGAUAGAGCAGAUUUCUUGGAAGGGAUAUCGAGGGAUUGGGUUGGAAAAUGGUGUGAAAAUUUAGUAAACAAAUAGAAGAUGAGGGAAAACUUGUGUGGAAGACAGUUGGCGAAAUGGGGUUUGUGUGGGUAGAAACAGCCUUUCAGGUGUUAAUCCCAAAGGAGAGGAGCUGUUGAUUAUGACACUGUGUGUGUGUGUGUGUGUGUGAAGAAACCCUUACUUGGCUUAGUUGCCUCAUCCACUCCACGUGGGAGCAUUGCCUAUAUCCCACUCACAACUUGCCUAUAUGUCAUCAAUGUAAGUGUUUUAUUGUUGAAAUUCAUACAAAGUGACGAGUAAGGGCUUUAGCCCCUUGGUAGUAUAAUUAUGAUUAUAAUGCCUCUCAAAUGUCACUCUACAAUACAAUUAUUUUUUGUUUCGUCUCUCCAAUUUUUUUAGUUAAUUAUCUCGAUUCUUUGUAUAUAUAUUCGAACCACUAUUGGUCAUAUUUCUCUUUGCCGAGAAACCGAAGAAGCUAUACAAGAGUUUUUUCGGGCCUACUCAUAUGAUACACAAUCAUAUGGUAUCUAAGCUAAAAAAUUCUAUGACACCAAAAUGAAUUCGGGUCUCUCCAGUUCAACUAGGACCCCAGUUCCUGACCCAACUUUCUACCAAAAUCAAGAUCAAGAAAAGAAAGUUUUCCAAUCAUUGACUCAAACCUAUUGGCGAAGUCCACUUAGCAAAAUAAGGUGGUAUUUAUGGCCAGCAAGCCACUGCUACAUCCAUUUCAUUAGGAUGACUGACCCUUGAUCUUAGUACCACACACUGAAAUACUUAAAUUUAAGAUUUUAUCAUUGUAUUUUAGUUGAGUAUAAUGUCCAUCCAAUUCAUCAUGCUAAUAUGAAUUUUUUUUGACACAAUGCAUAGAACUACCCCUAGUCCCUUCCCAACCCAUAAACAGGAGAAUAAUGUGUUUUAGUACAUUUGAACUCAUGUCCUCUUGUAUUGGCAACAAUGCCCAUAUCAAUUGGCUAACAUGAAUCUUUUUAUGAUCAAAGCAGUUGUGAGUUGAUACAGAGGGAGCUAUUUUUUCGAAAACUUAUUAUUAUCACUUAAGUUUUGAGGCGUUACCCUUUUUGUAACAAAAAAAAUUAUAUCUACAUUUUAAUUAACUAAAAAAAAUUAUAUUGACAUUUUAAUUGCAAUAGUUAAUGAUGUAUGUCUAUAUGAACAAAUUAAUAAUAUUAUAAAAAUAAAAUGAUCAAAUUAUAUUAAAUCAAAAUAUAAAAUCAAAAUCAAAAUUUUAAUAAAAUAGAAAUACCAAAAUCAAGAUUUUCCCUUAUUAUUAAUUUUUUGAGUAUUGAGGAAGAAACUCUUUGGAGAGGUCCAUAGAAUCAAAUGAGGAUGUUUCGACUGUUGUGUCAUUUUCUUUGCUCCCCAAUAUAUUCCCUCUCAGCUCUCUGCUUCAUCUUAUAUUUAUGCUAAUUGAUUUUUAGUUGUGGUAUAUGAAAUCUAAAAUAUUAAAAUCGAUAUUAUUGAAAAAGAUUUUACUUAAAUAUUAUUCAAUCAUAAAACGGACACCUAUAAUUAUAAAAGAAAAAUAGUAUAUAGAAUCUAAAGCUUGCUAUUAAACCAUUUAGACUCCAAAUUAUUUUCAUUAGGCCCUUAAUGAUUCUUCUCAAUAUCUGCAUAUUCGAAUGUGUGGAAAUAAAAAAAAUUUUACGCUUUUAAUUAUUUUUAUUAGGUAAAACGAUAAAUUUAGUCCCUACGGUUUAAUUUUUGUUACUUUAGCUUUAAUUAUUUUUUGGGAAUCAUUUUAACACCUUAUCAACAUUUAAAUUUUGGUCAUUUACUUUUCUUAGUUGGAAAAAUAGACUAUAAUGUUGAAAUUUUAACUAUAGUGACAUGGUAGCCCACAUGAUAAAUCGUGUGUGCUUCAUAAAAUUUUAAAAGAAAAUAAAAAAUUUCAGAAAGAAGCUCAUAAAAAAUAAAAAUGAUUAUCCACCACAGCAAUGAAGUAUAUACAUGAAUUGCUACACAGGUUGCUACGUCAGUGUGGUUAAAAUUUUAAUAGUUCAAUCAACUUUUCUAUUUAAAGAAAACCUUGAUUAAAUUUUGAAAGUUGAACACUAAAAUAAUUUAAAAAACUAGAGCUAAAAAAAAUUUAAAAAAAAAGAGAUAAAUAUUAAACUAAAUUUAUUAUUAUAUAAAAGUUCAAUCAUUCAAUUUUCUUUGAAGAAUUUAAUCAUUCAAUUUUGUAUAAUCAUGAUUUCAUCUAAAGGAAAGAAUAAAUAUCCUUGAACAAUUUUUUCUUAAACCAAGUAUAAUCUAUAUAAGAUCUAUUAAUAUUUUUUUUAUUCCAUAAUAAAACAAAAAACAAAACUUAGCCAUUAGCUUAUAUGAUUUGAAAGCCCUUUGAGAUCACAUUAAUUAUUGAAUGUCAUCACAUGGUCCUUCACUCCUUGACUCCCUUUCACACCACCACCACUUCCUCUAUAUAAACACACCCCCAUUACCUCAAAUCCUUCCAUAUCAACAACAACAACUACAACAAAUCAAGAACAUCAAAUUUCAUCCAUUUUCAGUUCAUCAAAAAAAAAAACUUACUUUUUUUUUUCAAAAACCCUUUAGCCAAAACUUAAAAACAAUGGAGAACUUGUUUAGACUUGUGGAUCAAGAUCAAGGUUUCUUUCAACGUAAAUGGACAUUGGUCAAUGGUCCAUUGAUAGUAGGUGCUGGUCCAUCAGGGUUAGCCACUGCUGCUUGUCUUAGAGAACAAGGUGUCCCUUUUGUUGUCCUCGAAAGAGCCGAAUGCAUAGCAUCUCUAUGGCAAAAACGAGCCUAUGAUCGGCUCAAACUUCAUCUUCCUAAACAGUUUUGUCAACUCCCUAAAGUACCAUUCCCUGAAGAUUUCCCUGAGUACCCAACAAAGAAACAGUUCAUUGAAUACCUUGAAUCAUACGCUAAGCGUUUUGAUAUUAACCCAAAGUUCAAUGAGUGUGUACAAUCAGCUAGGUACGAUGAAACCAGUGGUUUUUGGAGGGUUAAGACGGUAAGAGGCUCUAAUAAAGCCGAGUUCGAGUACAUUUGCCGAUGGCUAGUUGUGGCCACCGGCGAAAAUGCCGAGUCAGUGGUGCCGGAUAUCGACGGAUUGGCCGACUUUGGUGGUGAAGUUAUUCAUGCUAGUGAAUAUAAAUCCGGUGAGAAAUUCAAAGGCCAAAAUGUACUCGUCGUUGGUUGUGGUAAUUCAGGGAUGGAAGUUUCACUUGACCUUGCUAACCAUAAUGCUUCACCUUCAAUGGUGGUUCGCAGCUCGGUGAGUUUCAUUAUUUAAACAAAUAAAGUAAUCGAUUUCAUCAUUGGAUUGAAUUCUAAUGAUGGGUUUCUUUUUAUGUUUUAACAGGUUCAUGUAUUACCAAGAGAAGUUUUGGGGAAAUCGACGUUUGAAUUAGCUGUUUUGAUGAUGAAAUGGCUACCACUUUGGCUCGUCGACAUGAUUUUGUUGAUUUUGGCCUGGUUGGUGCUGGGAAAUAUUGAGAAAUAUGGAUUGAAAAGGCCAUUGAUGGGUCCAUUAGAGCUUAAGAACAGUAAAGGGAAAACACCGGUGUUGGAUAUUGGUGCAUUGGAGAAAAUCAAAUCGGGUGAUAUUCAAGUUGUUCCUGGAAUAAAGCGGUUCUCACGUGGACGACUUGAGCUCGUUAAUGGUGAGAAACUCGACGUUGACUCAGUUGUUUUAGCCACUGGGUACCGUAGUAAUGUUCCCUCUUGGCUUCAGGUGAGAAAAUUGUUUUAGACUCUUAUAUAUACAUGUUGGUAAAAUUUAGAUUUUAGUCCCUUUAUUUUGUUUAAAUUUGAAUUUUACUUCUUAUAUUUUAGCCAAUUUAUCACUUUACCAUAAUAUCAAACUAACUAUUUUUUAUAAUUCAAUUUCAACUCUUUCUAAAAAAAUUUCUAAAUUCUCCCUGCUUCGAACUCAACUAUGUUAGAAUGAUGCUUUAAAAAAAAACUAAAAUUAUUAUUUUUAUUCAAAAUAGUCAACAAUAUUGACUAUUUGAAUCAACUAAUGACAUUAUAAAAUUAAAAGAAUCAAAUUAUAUCAAAUUAAAAUAUAGAGAAAGUAAAAUUUGAAUUUAAACAUAUCAUUAAAGGGACUAAAAUAUAAAUUUUGACCCUAUUAUCUCAAACCACAAACAUUUAUUAAUGCUGUUUUUAUUAUGAAAAAAACAGGAAGGUGAAUUUUUCUCCAAGAAUGGAUUCCCAAAGGCACCAUUCCCAAAUGGAUGGAAAGGGAAAGGUGGACUGUAUGCAGUUGGGUUCACUAGAAGAGGCCUAUCUGGUGCUUCCUCAGAUGCCAUUAACAUUGCUCAAGAUAUUGGCAAAGCUUGGAAACAAGAAAAUAAGCAGCCCAAAAAGAGGACCAUUGCUUGCCAUAGGCGAUGCAUUUCACUUUCACAGUUCUAAAUUUCUUAUAUAUAUAUAUAUAUAUCAGCAGUAGCAUGGGAACAUAACUUUACCUUUGUUCUUUUGUUUUAUUUUUUUCAUGGUGUAAGAAGAAGAAAAAAAAUAGGUAGUAGUAAAAUAGCACCCACUGGCAAAUAAAUUAUAGUCAUUGCUGUUGAUGGUGAAUACCUUGAUUACGAUCAACAUAGAGCCCUCUCUCCAAAAGCCCAAGUUGGUUUUUUAUUUCUUUGGGCAUUUUGUAUUAUGAGAUGAUGAGGCUUUUUCUCUUUUCUUUUCAUAUAUAACAUUUGUACUUUGUAUUAUUAUUGUUAAGUAAAAAUUAUAGUUAAAAUAUGCUUUAGGUCUUGUAUUCUUAUUUUUAUUUUACAUUUGCAAUGUAAUUUUUCUAUUUUUAUUUUUAAGAAAUUUAGGCCUUCUUUGAUUAAAUGUUUAAAAAAUUAAUUUUUAAAAUAUUUUUAAUAAUUCACAAUGAAAACUACUAUAUAAUUUUUUUAACAAAAAAGUAUAGAAAAUGAUAGAGAGAGACACCUACUUAUCACUUAACUUUUUUUUUAAAAAAAAUUAAGAUUGUAUUAUCUUUUAUCAAAUAAUAUAAUUAUAUUCAAUAUUUAAUUUUAAGUAAUAUACUAAAUGGAUUUUAUAACUUAAAUUCAAUGGUUAUUUUGUCGGUACUUAAUUUUAAGCAUUAGCCUCUCUAUUUUUCAACACUUAAUUUUUCAAUUUAUCAAACAUAGCUUUAGUCUCUUUACUUUUCAAUUUUAAAACUGCAAGUUCAAUUAUUGACAUAGAAAUUUUUUUUGUUAAAUUUAGAUUCAUUACACCGUCAUAGUAAAUUAAAUAGAAAAAUUUUAACGAUAUUAAUAAUUAGACUUAAAUUUUGAAAUAUUAAAAAUGAAAAAAAAUUAAAAAUAAAAGUAGGGAUGAGAGAGAGAAUAUUUUACCUUUCCCUUUCUUUAUUUUUGUUAAUUGGUUUUCAAGAUUUUUAUCAUUUCACAAUAAGUUGCAAAGCACAAAUAUUAAUCGCUAUUAAGUCCAUUUUCAUCUUUUUUUGGUAGAAAGAAAUAUAGGUAAAGCCCAAAUACAGUAAAAUAUGCUAAUUACUAAUUGAUUCCUCGAGAAAACUUGAAUGAGAAUCCUCUUCUAAUAUCGUCUUGAUUUCAUGCGUUGGUUAAGAACCAUGAGAUGCCUAAUAUCACUAUUUAUCAUCUUUGCUAAAUGAUCUGUCACUUUAUUAAAUGAUCUUCGAAUACUUCUAAAUUUACUCUUAAUCUUUGAGACACGAGUCACAAAUUAACUGAAUUUCAACAACAUUACUCACCGAUGCAAGACCCAUUUGAAGAAUUUCAAUAAACAAAACAUCGUUACUUUCCAAUUUCACUUACUUAAACCCUUUAUUCCAACCCUUUAUUCCAAGAAAGUUGCAAUCCUUCGAGUCCAUUUUCGUUAUUGAUUCUCAUUGGUUUUUCUUAUUUAAUUGAUCAAGUCUUGGGUUUGGACUUUUGAACGAUCUCUCUUUUUAGAAUGUACAUAUAUAUAUAUAUAGGGAAAGCCCUCUUGUCGAUGUACAUUCUGGUCCUAAAGGAUUUAGAUAGGUGGGAGAUCUCUUCUUUCUUCACCGCAACCUUUAGGAGAUUCGAUUGCUAUUUUCAGCUCAAAACUAGAUAGCUAUUCCUCAUUUAGCAUUUAGAUAGGAAAGAGAAUGGCCGCUUAUAUAUAUGUGUGUGUAUAUAUAUGCAAAUAUGCUUACAAAAAAGCCCAAUUGAUUCAAUGUUUAAGAUCUGCAAGUUGUCCAUUAGGGUCUUAUUUAUAGAUGGGUAGAAACCCAUGUUCAUGAUGUAUCAUGGAACAAGCACCUUUCUCUCAUCUUUGGUGAUAGAUGGAGAGGAAAUAAAAAAAAUUAGGUUAAAAUUAAAUUAUAAUUUUUUAAAUCAAAAUAUAAUUUUAUAUUAUAUUAAUUUAUAAUUUGUUGAUAUUUAAAGAGGUUAAAGAGCUUUUUUUUUAAAAAAAUAGGGUUAAAGUUUAAAUUUUCUAUAUAUUAAUUUCUAAUUUUAUCAUUUGUGAAGAAUUAAAAGACAAGUUUUCUAAAUUGGAGUCAAGACCCCUACUUGCACCUCUCUAAAUUUGCAUAUGCUAAUACACCACUAUUUCCUUAAAUAUUAUUAUCUUUUUCAUUGAAAAACUUACUAAAAUAAUCAUUUGGAUAGACGAUGAGAUUGACUCUGAUGAGAUUAAUCAUUGUAGCAUUGUGAUCAAGUAUUGCAGUGGUGAAAUUGACAUUAGUGAUAACAUAUGUGUUUGGAUGCAAACAUAAAAGUGGGGUGAGCUGAAAGUAAAAUAUGAUUAUUAACAUCAUCAUAUUAAAUUUUUUAUUUAUGAAAAUUUUAAUUUAGUUGAUACUUUUGAUAUAAAAAAAUAUAUUAUAUUAGUAAUGGGCCAAAUCCGUCCAGGCCCAAUUAAACCCAAAAUGCCCCAAGCCUCAAAAAAAACCCUAGCCCAAUACAUUAAAAAAAUCAGAAAAAAGAAACAAAAAAAAAACCUAAGUUCAGCCGCCGUACCAUCGCCCAUACCUUCUGCCUUCAACCACUCUCUGCCAUCCCUGAGAAACAAACCAAAGAAGAGCAGAUAAACACAACACGCAAACAGUAGCAGAAACAUUUUUUUUAAUAUUUGUAAUCGGCUUUAAAAGGCCGAAUAAUGAAUGUAAAAGGGGGACUCUUUUCAAAAUUCAAAAAACGAAGAAAUUAAUCAAAAAGAGACCAAGAAUUUCGAAAGGUUUUUUUUAUCCUUUUUAUUUUUUAUUUUUGAUAAAAUAAAUAAAUAAGCAAAACAUACCUGUUGUCUUGUUUUCUCACCACGGUUAAAGGCCGUCGCCGGCGUUUUGAUGCCACAAACCCGUUGGGUUCCCAACGAGGGUUUAAAAGAGGGAAAUAGGAUUGGAAAUAACCCUUUUUUCUUCCCUUUUAUUUCUGAUUUUUGGUUUUAAAAAAGGAGAUAGAGAUCAAAUAAGGGGGGAAGAGACUUAUCUUAGUAUUGACUCCUUCGAGUCCUUGCUUGCUUCGUCGUUAUCGAAGCCUAGGUGAAGAUUCGGAGGCUCAGGAGCACGACCCUCGGAUUCGUGGUCGAACAGGGCUAGAUUUGGCCUUCGCUUGAUGACCGUCGGCCGAAUACAGAGGCAAAACAGCAAUUGAAGUCUUUCUUUUUUUUUUUCGGCCGAAUGAGAGGGGAGGAGGCUAAGGCUUAGUUUGGAUGGGCGGUGUGUUUUCUUGGUGAGAUUGAAUACUAUAGCGGUGAGAAUAAAAAUAGCAGUGGAUAUGUGUUUGGAUUCAAACGUAGUUGUAGCGGUGAGAUGAGAAUAAAAAAUGACCAUUAUAGACAUUAGUUUACAAUGUAUUUAUAAUAAAAUAAAUAAUUAAAUUUAUAUUAAUAUUAAAUAAUAUAACAUAAAAUAAAAUUUUAUUUUUUAUAAAAUGAUAAUUAAAAUAUUAUAAUCAUAUGCAAUAAAAUUUAAAUAUUUUUAAAUUAUAUUAAUAAUAAAUAAUAAAACAUAUUUAAAUUUUUUAUAUUAAAUAAUAAUUAAAAUUAUAUAUUUAUGACAAUAAAUUUAUAUAUUUAUUAAAUUAUUAUAUAAUAAUAUCUAAUAAUAUUUUACUUUCUAUAAAGCUCAAAAAAAAAAAAACAAAGAACAAGGGUAAUAAAAUCACUCACCUCAGUUUCUUCACCACUGUCACCUUUGGCUUCAGUGAAAAUUGAGAACAGCAGUGUAGUGAGAGUGCUCAAUUGCACAUUGCACUGCACCUCAAAUCUCUCAAAUCUUCCAAACAAGAAAUCAGUGCAGUGAAAAGGAAUAUUCACCCAAUAUUCCAUCUCACCGUGGGUAAAAUCUAAUCCAAAGGGAGCCUAAGUUUUGGUGUUGAUUUCAAAUGACUGAGCAUUAGUUUAAGGUUUCUUUUAAUUUUGUUUUUAUAAAGAGUAAAACGGCACCGUUUGAGGGGGACACUUAAUUACGUUGGGUAAAUUCCACACUCGUGUCCCUCCCUAUUUUGCCGUCAUCUGAUUGAGUCCCAUUUAUGUUUCUUUUGUUUUUUUUUAAUUCUUUCCUAAAACUUAUAUGCUGUUUUGAUUUGAUCCAUGUUUACAUGGGGCGUUCAGAAACUUGGAAUAAUGGUGUUUUUAAUACCUGCACAUUCAUGCCCAUCGCACUUUGGUCCUUAUUUUUAUUUAAUGGUUUAUUUUAUUUAGUUUGGGUCUGUUUUAAUUAAGUUUUUUUUAUUUCAAUAGGCAUAAUACUCUAGUUCUUUAACUUAUUUAACAUUUUUAAUUAUUUAAAUAUACAUCCGUAAUUAUUUUGAUGGUUGUGCCUUGCUUUAAUUCAUUUUUUUACUGUUUAAUUACAUUUUUUUUAUAUCAUAUUGUUAAAAUAUUGUGUAACAUUUAAUUUUUUUUUUAUAUCAUUGUAUAUAUGUAGUUUAUAUUAAAAUUGGUUUUACCCAUUUUCAUGCUGUUUCAUGUAUAUGUUUUCUUCUGAAUCUAUAUAUAUAUAUAUAUAUAUAUAUAUAUAUAUAUUCUUUUAAAUCUAUUUAUGUAUAUAUUAUUUCUUCUUAAAUCAUCAUACGUAGUAUUUAUUUUGAGAUUCUUAUACGUAUUUUGGUAUUUUAGAUUAUUACAUGUAUAUAUAUAUUUAUUUUAAACAUUUUUCUAUGCAUUAUCUUACAUCAAAUUUCUCUUUUCACAUUAUUCUUUCUACAUUUUUUUAUAUGUCAUUUGAGUUAAACUCUAUUUCAAUUUCUUAUAUAUUAUUUAGUUACAUUAUUUUACAUGAAAAUUAUUUUAAACUCUUUUAUUAUUCAUUGUAAACCUUUAUUAUUGCUAAUUUUAAGACUAUAUAGGUAUUUAUUUUAAACUUUUUUAUAUAUUAUUUUAGAUAUAUAUAUUUUAUUAUUUAUUUUAAAUUUCUCUUUUACACAUUACUCAUUUUAAGCUCUUUUGUAAGUUAUUUUAAAGUGUCCUUGUUAUUUUUCUAUCUAUUUUUAUUUUUUCAUUUUUUGUGCAUUAUUCAUCUAGAUUCAUUUAACAUAUUGUUUAUUUGAAGUUUGCUUUAUAUAUAUUAUUUUAUGCCAAAAUAUUAUAUAUGUUAAUUAUUGUUUUAUAUUCUUUACUUUAAAUUGCUUUUUUAUUUUAAAAUCAUGUAUGUUUUAUUUAUUUAAAAUUGUUUUAUUAUUUUAAGUUGUUUAUGUCCCCUUUUAAAACUCAGUUUAUUUAUUUUAAAUAUUUUAUUUAUUACUCAUUAUAAGUUAUUUCCUAAUAUUAUUACCAAUUUUAUACUUAUAUAUACAUAUAUAUAUCUAUGUACGCAUCAUUUAAUCUAAAAUUUUUGUAAAUAAAUAUAUCAUAUUUUCUCAAAUUAUUUUAUAUAUUAUCGAUUUUAAAGAUUCAUCUUUUACUUUAUUUACUUUUAAAACUUAGUCAUCAUUAUGUUGAAUAGUUUGUAUAUUCCAUUCGUUUUAAUUUGCCUCAUACCAUUUAUUUUUUAGAGUGUCACAUAUGUUAUUUAUUUAUUUAUUUUUGCUCCUUGAUCACUAAUGUUAACAUUUACACAAUGCAUGUUGAAUGGUUAUUAUUGUGCCUUAAUUUAUUCACUUGCAUCUUUAUCUUUGUCGUACAUUUGUGAUAUUAUUCUCGUAUUAUUAUUUCAUGCUUUAUACUCCCUUUUAUUUUAUUUCAUUUAAAUUAUAUCGCGCAUCAACCUCAAAUGUAUUUGUCCAAGCACGGACUGUUUUAAUCCAAACAAAUAAUACAUGUCGUUUAAGUAUCGUAUUGGCUAUGGUUUAAAAACAAAAUCUUCUAAAUAAGGCAAUGAUCGGUAUUUGGGAAUUCAAGGAAAUGUGUCCUAACUUACUGGGUUUCGAAUUUUCUUGUCCAUCCUAAAUAACCGAACAUCCUCUUAAAAAGGGGCUAAAAUAUAUGAAUUUUAAAUAAAGGUAAGCUCAUUCUCAAAGUUCGAAAUGUCGUGUCCUAAUUUACUAGGCGUGACGUUUUAUUAUUUUGAGAUGAGGGAGUCCUUAACAUCCGUUUUAACUUAUUUGAUCAUUUUUAAAUUAGCAUUAAUUCAAAGAAGGAUUGUGUUUUAAAUUCUUUCAAGUUUUCAAAUCUUUGACAUUAAGACACUAAUUAAUCAACUAGGUAUCAAUUUUGGGCGUAUCGAGGGUGCUAAUCUUUCCUCGUGCGUAACAGACUUCUGAACCUGUUUUUUUUAUUUACGUGGACCAAAAUCAUUGUUUAAAUAAAUCAAACCAUUUAUUAAAAAUAAUCACUUUUACGAGGUGACCCGAUCACACCUCAUCAAAAAGGAUUUGUGGCAAUUCCUCUAUUCGUUUUCAUUUUCAAAAUCUAAAUCGAUUCCCGUUUUUUCCUAAAAAAAAUGGUUUCGACAAUAUUUAUGUUAAAAUAAUAAUUCUAUUAAUAAAAUGAAAAAAUUAUACCAUUAUAUUUUUGUAUUUUAUUAUUGAUGCAGUUUUUAUGUUUUAUUUAAUUGUUAUUUACAUUAGUCUAAUAGUAUAGUGGUAUACUAAAUUAUAACGCACAGAGUGAAAAAAUAUAUAUAAUAAAUAUAUUUAUAAAAAAAUAAUUAUCAAAUUUAGCUGAAAUGGUAAAGAUAUUAAAAUUUAUGGUAUUUUCAUACAACUUGAAAUAACAAUAAUAUCCCCACAGUAACGUUUAUUAUUAAAAAGAAAUGGUUUUUGGUAAUUGUUCAAUUGAGUUAGGACUCGGUUGAAGAGCUAUGUCAACUCAACAAGCUCAUUAAAUAUAGUACUAGACUACAUUCUGGCACACCCACGUACUUGAGAGUUUCCUACCUCAUACGGCUCGGCAGUCAAUUCUUUUGGUAUCCCAUUUUUUUGCCCUACCAUAUAUUCAAUUGAAUGAGAUUUCUCAUAGAUCUAUCGAUUUGUCUCGGGUUAACUAAAAGGGGUUAAGGUGUUGGGUUAAGUCCCGCAACGAGCGCAACCCUCAUGUUUAGUUGCCACCGUUGAGUUUGGAACCCUGAGCAGACUGCCGGUGAUAAGCCGGAGGAAGGUGAGGAUGACGUCACGAUGUAUGUGAAAACAAAUAUAUAAUAAAUUUAUUAAAAACGACAUAAAAAUUAAAUAUGAGAAAAAUGAGAAAUUGAACAUUAAAGUAUCUUGAGUUCAAACCUUUUCAUAUGCAAAAACAAUUUUUUUUAAAAAAAAAAAAAGAAAAAGAAAAUAACAACAAAGUAAACAAGUAUCAUUCUUGAUAGAGUAAUUCCAUCCAGAUCCUUAUGGAGAAUUCUUAAAACUUCAUCUGAUGUUGCUUGAAACAAUGAAUUCCAAUAUCCUCAGCAAAAGUUAUAGUCGCCAUCUUAUCAGCAACCAAAGCAUAAUCACCUUUAACAUAAUGUAUGUUGCUUUUUAAAAUAAAUGAAUUUUGAUAAAUUCUCACCUAAAUAUUGGAAUUAGUAACACAAAUUUAAUCAAAGACAUUAUAUAUAAUAUAAAAAGAUAUAUAUUAAUAUCAUUUUGAUUAAUGUAAAAGCAGUAUAUUAAUAUUAGGGUAAACUAUAUCCAAGUUCACAGAACUAUUAGUAGGUUUACGUUUUGGUCACUCGAUUUUAAAAAGUUAUAAAAUGGUCACUAAACUGUGUGAAAGUUUUAAUUUAAGUCAUUGGGUUGUUAAAAUCGUCACUUUAUGGCCUUCUCUAUUCUCACCUCUUACACCAAUUGAAAGGGUAAACUUUCCCUCCUCUUCUACAAUUUUUUUUUUAUGAAAUAGCUUUGAACGUCACCAAUUUGCGAAUCAAAAUUUGAGUAACUUUCGUCUCCAAUCUUUGGCACCAAUCAUCAAAUCAACUUGGAUUGAGAUAUGUUCUAGUUGUCAAUGGGUACUACUCUGUUGUGCUAGUCGUUGAAUUGUCACUUAAAGCUGGCCGGUUGGACUUUUAAAAUAAAAAGAUUUCACAAUCUAGUAACUUAAAUGAAAACAUUUGUAUAGUUUAAUGACUAUUUUGUAACUUUUUAAAGUUGAGUAACCAAAAUAUAAACUUACUAAUAAUUUAGCGAUCUAAGUAUAGUUUACCUUUAAUAUUGAUAAAUAAUUCAUUUUGGAUCAUACGGGACCAUUAUAAGUUCUUUGUCUCACAUUUUACCAUUAGCUCCUAAGAGCUCUUUUCCCUUCAUUCUCAAGUUAAUAACAUUUAAUUUUUAAAAUUUUGAUAAUGUUGUUUUAUAAAUGUUGUUGAUACCGGGUAUCAACAAAGAAGGAGAUAAUGAGAAAUAAGUGAUGAUAUAAGGAAUGUCAGUUCACCUAAACAGACGGAGAGUUGGAGAAAGUAAGUGAUAAAGUAGGAGAGUAUGUUAGUAAAGGAGGUUGGCGAGCAGUAUAGUGCUCACGGUUGCUAAAGGGACAAAAGAUCUCUUCUCCAUUGCAACAACUAAAUGUAUUUAUAAGAAGUCUUGAGGCUGGUGAUAUUACAUCAACGACGGAAUAGGUGGUGGUCCUCUUGUGUGGUCGAUCAGGUGGUAAGUUGCUUAUCCUUGUGCAUUGUACUGCUCUGACAUUCCUUGGUGUAAGGUAGUACGAGGUUAUUAUGCAUGUGUCUUUGGUGGUCCCCUCCAGGAAGUGAGUGCAUUCCUGUUAAAAACUGAUGAUCAAGAAUACAGGGUACCCAAGUGGCUAGACACUAAGCAGUGAAGGGUUGUCCAGGCACUCUUCAGGUGGAUAAUGCACCAAGUGUUGUAAGGGGAAAUGUCAGUGGAGAGCAGUCCAUGAGUGCCUCUCUAAUGUUCUCUCACAGUGCCACAUGUCCUCAUAGGGUAAUGGUAUAACAAAUUUAUACAAAUAUUUUAAUUUAUCACUUAUUUAAAAUUAUUUAUUAUAUUAAAUUAUAAAUAUAAUUCAAAUGAAUUAGAUAGUAAUUUAUUUAUUUAUUUCUAUAUGAGAUGCAAAAGAAAGAGGCUAAAGAAAUUCUUGAACAUCCCAAGCCCAAUUAAAGGAGCCCAUGAAAUAAAACAUACCCAUGUGUUGUGACCCAUUCAGGCUGGGCAAAUACUUCGAUAGCUCAUGGCAAUCAGCCUAACAUAAAUUCGUUUUAAAUAAUAAAAAAUAUUUUUAAAUCUAAAUUUAAAAACAUUAAUAUAAAACAGCUCCUUGACAUUUUUUAGGUAGCGAAACAAUAAAUUAAAUUUUUUUUAAAAAAAUUAGAAAAUAUAUUUACAAUUUUUUUUGAGUUAAUAUAUAUAUUAAAAAAAUUGGGCCUUUUCCAACCCUGGGCCCUGGACGACUAUACCUUCAGACUACCCCAAGGCCGUCUAAUAUAAAACAUAUUUUAAAAUUCGAGUAACAUUUAGAACUCUAAAACGGCCGAGUGGCUAUAAAUUGAAAACGAGUCUACCUUGAAAAAAAUCAUUUUGUAAACCAGCUAUGACAACCUUUACUCAAUCCAACAAAUAACCAACUUCAAAUGGAACAAUCUUUUCUCAUUAUAAUCAUAUACUUCAGUAUAUAUAAAAUGGUUUGAUUUUGUCAAUUGAGUUUGUAAUGGACCAAAUCUGGGCCCAACUAACAGAAGCCCAAAACCCAACAGCAGCCCAACCCAAACACAAAACAAAAAAAGGAACUGAAAACCCUAGCCUAAUCAGCUGCUGCCUCCACUUGCACUGUCGCUGUCCCAUCCACCACCGACGUCAACCCUCUACUGCUUCCAACCACUACCAACUUGCACCUGCAGAGAGAAGAAAUAAUCAUCAACAAGCAACUUGUAAAUGGCUAUAAAAGCCUUUAAAAUUCUAUGUAAGGGGGAUUUUUUUUGGAGAAAAAUAAAAACGAAAUUUUCAUAAAAAAAAACACAAAAACAGAGAUUGAGAACCAAAAAGAGAGAAUAAUCGAAAAGCAAAACUAAAUCAGGAGGUGAUUUCUUUUCUUUUCUUCUUAUUUUUUUUAACUUUCGAAUUCUUUUUUUUCAUUUCUUUCUUUUUCUUUCAACAUAAACAUAUACAUAAAUAUAAAACAAAAAAAAAACAAAAAAACUUCACCUUUUGCGAUUUUCGGCCACCGUAUACGGUGGCCGACAGCGGUCGCCGGCGACGGCCGGCACGGCGGUGGUCGAUAGGAGCAAGGCCGGAAUUCGGGAAAAGAGAGAACUUUUCUUGAGAAAAUUUUUUUUUUUUUUUUUAAGAAAGGUGGGCUGAAAUGAGGGAAAAAGAAAUUUUGGGGCAUUUAUAUAGGAUCCAAAACGACGUCGUUUUGGACUUAAGUCCCAGUGCCAAAACGACGUCGUUUCAUCACAACCCGGAUUUCUACCCGACCCAUUAAAGGGGAUCCGCGUGUUUUAUUUUGAAUGGGUUAUUUUGUCUCUGGUCCUCCCGAUUUUUAUUCUUUUGCAAUCAAGUUUUGUUUUAUUUUAAUUUGGCCUCGUACUUUGGCUUCGUGUUCAUUUUGGUCCCAUGCUAAGUGUAGUGUUUUGGAGGGAAGGGAAAUUUACCCUUUUAGUCCCCAACGUUAUUCACACGCUUCGAUGGGUCCCUUCCUUUACUUUUAUUUUCAAUUUGGGCCCAAAUUCUUCUAUUUUUUUUUAGAUUUGUCAUUCAAUUUUAUUUCAUAUUUAAUUGGGUCCCUUGGCUCGUUGGUGCUCUAUGAAUCUCAGGAAAUUUGGGGGUUAUUGCGCAUUCAACCCCUGUUUAUGUGCGUGCCUUACUGAUUAAUUUAUUUUAUCACAAUUCUUUGCUGUUAAUUUUGUUUUUGCUCUGAUUUGAUCCAUAAUUCAUUUGACUUCACCCCCAUGUGCUAAUUUGUUAUUUGUUUACUUACUUAAGUUUUAUAUUAUUUAUUUUAAGUUGUUUUAUUAUUUAUUUUAAGUUUUAUAUAUUAUUUAUUUCAUACAUUUUUUCAAGUUUUAUGUACGUAUUAUUUUAAAAAAAAAAACUAUUUGGUACAUUAUUGAUUUUAAAUUUCUUUCCAUAUAUUAUUUAUUUUAAACCCC
rnacentral:lncRNA from 1 species